CUUAGUGGUGGGGUGAGUGUCUGUUUCUUAGUGGUGGGGUGAGUGUCUGUUUCUUAGUGGUGAGGUGAGUGUCUGUUUCUUAGUGGUGGGGUGAGUGUCUGUUUCUUAGUGGUGGGGUGAGUGUCUGUUUCUUAGUGGUGAGGUGAGUGUCUGUUUCUUAGUGGUGAGGUGAGUGUCUGUUUCUUAGUGGUGGGGUGAGUGUCUGUUUCUUAGUGGUGAGGUGAGUGUCUGUUUCUUAGUGGUGGGGUGAGUGUCUGUUUCUUAGUGGUGGGGUGAGUGUCUGUUUCUUAGUGGUGGGGUGAGUGUCUGUUUCUUAGUGGUGAGGUGAGUGUCUGUUUCUUAGUGGUGGGGUGAGUGUCUGUUUCUUAGUGGUGAGGUGAGUGUCUGUUUCUUAGUGGUGGGGUGAGUGUCUGUUUCUUAGUGGUGAGGUGAGUGUCUGUUUCUUAGUGGUGGGGUGAGUGUCUGUUUCUUAGUGGUGGGGUGAGUGUCUGUUUCUUAGUGGUGGGGUGAGUGUCUGUUUCUUAGUGGUGGGGUGAGUGUCUGUUUCUUAGUGGUGGGGUGAGUGUCUGUUUCUUAGUGGUGGGGUGAGUGUCUGUUUCUUAGUGGUGAGGUGAGUGUCUGUUUCUUAGUGGUGGGGUGAGUGUCUGUUUCUUAGUGGUGAGGUGAGUGUCUGUUUCUUAGUGGUGGGGUGAGUGUCUGUUUCUUAGUGGUGAGGUGAGUGUCUGUUUCUUAGUGGUGAGGUGAGUGUCUGUUUCUUAGUGGUGAGGUGAGUGUCUGUUUCUUAGUGGUGAGGUGAGUGUCUGUUUCUUAGUGGUGAGGUGAGUGUCUGUUUCUUAGUGGUGAGGUGAGUGUCUGUUUCUUAGUGGUGAGGUGAGUGUCUGUUUCUUAGUGGUGAGGUGAGUGUCUGUUUCUUAGUGGUGGGGUGAGUGUCUGUUUCUUAGUGGUGAGGUGAGUGUCUGUUUCUUAGUGGUGAGGUGAGUGUCUGUUUCUUAGUGGUGAGGUGAGUGUCUGUUUCUUAGUGGUGG